GGAAGGAUGUCGUGCACGCGCACACGCUCUUGUCAGCAGAACAGAUACAGCUCGCGCUCGCAGACGAACAUCACGCGCUCAUUCUGAAUUAAAGUGAAUUAAAACGUCCUCGGUACAAGACUGGAGUUAUUCGAUUUAAGAGUUAGAGCCAAGCGUCUCAAAUGGAGACAGAAGCCAUGGAUGUCCAACAGUGGGACGGAGGGCAGGGCAGCGCACCGGUCAAGUUCAUGUCCCAGGAGAGUCAUGUCCACAAGACACAACCACAGGCCACCUGCAAACCUGACGUCACAGGUCCUGUCCCAGCUGAGAUUGUUGACAACGGAAGAAACGAGUCCCUGACAGACAGUGUCUCAACCAAUGAUGAUGCUUUACUGCUUCCUGACCACAUACCUACAAUUUCACGCAAAAUAGAGAAAGGCAACGUGAAGCCCAGUAUUCCCAGUGGCUCUGCUAUAAUUCGUACUCCUCCGGCUUCUUCAUCAGGAGGAUCGACGCCGCGCCUGACAACACAACAGAAAUGCAACGGACAUGCAGAGUGCAAUGGACACAAACACCCUCACAGAAAACACACACCCUCCGUUUCCUGGAGCCAGCAGCGCUUCAAGGCUGAUGCCUCGCAGAUACAGAGAGUAGCUGGAGAUGACUGCUGUGCACACUGCAUCCUAGCAUGUCUGUUCUGCGAGGUGCUGUCGUGGUGUUCGGCCGUGGCUCAGUGUUUGGCCUGCGGUCUGGAGUGUGACGCUCUCUGCUGCUGUGGAGAAGCGGCCACCGGUGGUCUGGCGUGCUGUGCUGAGGACACCUGCUCUGCCCUGCUGCAUUGUGGGAUAGUGGAGGACUGUUGCCAGUCUUCAGACUGUCUGGAGAUCUGUGUGGAAUGCUGCUCCAUCUGUUUCACUGCCUAACUGGAUUCUCAACAGACUGAUAUCAACUGCUCAAAAGACUGUAAGCGUUGGGUAUAUAUAUCAUUGUUAUCCCGCAUUUUCUAUUUAUUUAGAAUGAAAAUGAAGUUGUUGCAUCAGUCAAAGUUGGACUGUUCUGUACGAGGUUACUCUCUGAAUUCUGACAGGCUUUAAAUCUGAAGUGUGUUAUUUUUUAAAUACCUACAGAAUCCAUUUUUUAAUGUGAAAUAUUGCUUCGCUUAUUGGAGAAUCGACCAAUGGCGUUAGUUCAGGAAAUCUUUUUAAUUUUUCCAAUUCUGUUUGGUGACACUAGUGGCACAGGAAUGACACACUUCAUCUUUACCGGGGAAGAGCAAAAGAUUUAUCACUUAGACUACCAAUUGUUAGAUAUUUGUAAGUGAAAACAACAUAAAAAUGACUUUUUGAAUAUGGAUGUGGAUGUUUCAAGUUUUUACUUGGUCACAAAAUACAGUAAAAACAGUAAAAUGUGUGAAAUAUUAUUACAGUUUAAAUUACAGUUUUCUAUUUGAAUAGAUUUUAAAAUAUAAUUUAUUCCUGUGAUACAAAGCUGAAUUUUCAGCAUCAUUCCUCCAGUCUUCAGACACAUGAACUUCAGAAAUUAUUCUGAUAUUCUGAUUUGCUGCUCAAGAAACAUUUUGUUAUUAUCAAUGCUGAAAACAGUUGUGCUGCCUAACAUGUAUAUGUUUGAAGCCGUGAUACUUGUUUUAGGAUUAUUUGAUUAAUAGAACUUUUAAAACAACCGCAUUUAUAUGAAAUAGCAAUUUAGUCUUUACUGUCACUUUUGAUAAAUUUUAUGCAUCUUUGCUGAGUAAAAGUAAUUUCUUUUUUACUGACCCCAGACAUUUUAACGGUAUUGUAUAUAUUUGUCACCUAUAACAAGGGGGUUAUUCAGAAAAAGUACCGUAGUUAAUAUUCUGCUGGUCAUGUGAUCACAACAUGAGAGCAAAUCCACCUUUAUGUGGAAUAAUACUUCUUGCAGUUUAUAGUGCUUAGAAAAACAAUCUAGUAAGUCAUUUAUUCUAAAGAAUCAAUUUUAUCUUAAUAGUCAUUCUCUGUUU